GGGACUGCCUCCAGCUCUGAGCUCCCCAGUGCAGUGAAAUCAGAAGGCAACACAACUGGUACCAGGUACAAGACUAAGACUGCUAUGACUUGCUUUGGAGAUGAAAUCAGAAGAUAGGUUAAUAUAUGCAUCAACAAAGAAUCCAAACCCGAAGUGGAUAAAGUAGUGAGCAACUCGUUCUAGAGAACCCUGUUCUGAGCAGGAAGUUAGACUACAUGAUCUUCAGAAGUGCCUUCAACCUCAACAAUUUCAGGCUCCUGUAACAAACCAUACAGAAAUAUACAGAAGCAUUUCUGUAUUCAUUUA